rfam:Chromatiales bacterium (ex Bugula neritina AB1) isolate AB1-2 AB833_contig000080, whole genome shotgun sequence.
CAGUGGGUGAAAAUCCCACCCGACAAGGGUCGUUCCAGUCGGUAGCAGUCGGGACAGUUAGCAAGAUGCUGGCUGAACAGCUUCCCGAUGUCAAAGGGUCCAGUAGAGGAUUCAGCGAGUAAACAGGCCGUAACGUGA